rnacentral:snoRNA from 1 species
UCCCAAUGAUGAGACCAAGGCGAAUAUGAGCUCACUGAACGAGCGCUGGGUUCUUCUUGCUGUGACUGGCAGGUAAUCUUGGCAGUGCAGAGGAGGAUUCCUGCACUGCUGUAAGGGCCUGCCUACAUUAACUAUGUACAACCCAAGCUGCUUCUCUAAAGUCAGAGGAGUAGUCAUUGGGGUGAUACUGACAGUGUGAAUGUGUUGUAUGUGAUUGUGGUGUGUGUGCAGACGGCAAGAAGUUCACCCAGCCCUCUUUGUUGUUCAGCAAGCAAUGAGUUCAUUCUUUGGUAAUCUGAGGGUU